rnacentral:rRNA from 1 species
AUUGAACGCUGGCGGCAGGCCUAACACAUGCAAGUCGAACGGUAACAGGAAGCAGCUUGCUGCUUUGCUGACGAGUGGCGGACGGGUGAGUAAUGUCUGGGAAACUGCCUGAUGGAGGGGGAUAACUACUGGAAACGGUAGCUAAUACCGCAUAAUGUCGCAAGACCAAAGAGGGGGACCUUCGGGCCUCUUGCCAUCGGAUGUGCCCAGAUGGGAUUAGCUAGUAGGUGGGGUAACGGCUCACCUAGGCGACGAUCCCUAGCUGGUCUGAGAGGAUGACCAGCCACACUGGAACUGAGACACGGUCCAGACUCCUACGGGAGGCAGCAGUGGGGAAUAUUGCACAAUGGGCGCAAGCCUGAUGCAGCCAUGCCGCGUGUAUGAAGAAGGCCUUCGGGUUGUAAAGUACUUUCAGCGGGGAGGAAGGGAGUAAAGUUAAUACCUUUGCUCAUUGACGUUACCCGCAGAAGAAGCACCGGCUAACUCCGUG